AUUUAAGUAAUUUAAAUUUAAAAUAUUAAUUUGUGGAAUUAAAAAUAUUUUCUUAAAUU
rnacentral:tRNA from 1 species